CCCUUAGAGUUUGAUCCUGGCUCAGGAUGAACGCUGGCGGCGUGCUUAACACACGCAAGUCGAACGGGAAACCUUUUAUUGAAGCUUCGGCAGAUUUAGAUUGUUUCUAGUGGCGGACGGGUGAGUAACGCGUGGGUAACCUGCCUUAUACAGGGGGAUAACAGUCAGAAAUGACUGCUAAUACCGCAUAAGCGCACAGAGUUGCAUGGCUCGGUGUGAAAAACUCCGGUGGUAUAAGAUGGACCCGCGUUGGAUUAGCUAGUUGGUGAGGUAACGGCCCACCAAGGCGACGAUCCAUAGCCGGCCUGAGAGGGUGAACGGCCACAUUGGGACUGAGACACGGCCCAGACUCCUACGGGAGGCAGCAGUGGGGAAUAUUGCACAAUGGGGGAAACCCUGAUGCAGCGACGCCGCGUGAAGGAAGAAGUAUCUCGGUAUGUAAACUUCUACCAGCAGGGAAGAAAAUGACGGUACCUGACUAAGAAGCCCCGGCUACUCUG
rnacentral:rRNA from 1 species